rnacentral:rRNA from 1 species
UUGGAGGGCAAGUCUGGUGCCAGCAGCCGCGGUAAUUCCAGCUCCAAUAGCGUAUAUUAAAGUUGUUGCAGUUAAAAAGCUCGUAGUUGAAUUUCGGGAUUAGUACGUCGGUCGUGCCUUAGGUACGUACUGGUGUUACUGGUUCCUACCUUCUGACGAACCAUCAUGUCAUUAAUUUGGUGUGGUGGGGAAUCAGGACUGUUACUUUGAAAAAAUUAGAGUGUUUAAAGCAGGCUCGCGCUUGAAUACAUUAGCAUGGGAUAAUGAAAUAGGACGUUGAUCCUAUUUUGUUGGUUUCUAGGAUUGACGUAAUGAUUAAUAGGGAUAGUUGGGGGCAUUAGUAUUCAAUUGUCAGAGGUGAAAUUCUUGGAUUUAUUGAAGACUAACUACUGCGAAAGCAUUUGCCAAGGAUGUUUUCAUUAAUCAAGAACGAAAGUUAGGGGAUCGAAGACGAUCAGAUACCGUCGUAGUCUUAACCAUAAACUAUGCCGACUAGGGAUCGGAUGAUGUUAUUUUUAAUGACUCAUUCGGCACCUUACGGGAAAC